UUGGGCAAUGGAGGAAACUCUGACCCAGCGACGCCGCGUGCGGGAUGAAGGCCUUCGGGUUGUAAACCGCUUUCAGUAGGGAAGAAGCGAAAGUGACGGUACCUACAAAAGAAGCACCGGCUAACUAUGUGCCAGCAGCCGCGGUAAUACAUAGGGUGCAAGCGUUGUCCGGAAUUAUUGGGCGUAAAGAGCUCGUAGGUCGUUUGUUACGUCGGAUGUGAAAACCUGAGGCUCAACCUCAGGCCUGCAUUCGAUACGGGCAAACUAGAGUUUGGUAGGGGAGACUGGAAUUCCNGGUGUAGCGGUGGAAUGCGCAGAUAUCAGGAGGAACACCAAUGGCGAAGGCAGGUCUCUGGGCCAAUACUGACACUGAGGAGCGAAAGUCUGGGGAGCGAACAGGAUUAGAUACCC
rnacentral:rRNA from 1 species